rnacentral:misc_RNA from 1 species
AAGUCGUAACAAGGUUUCCGUAGGUGAACCUGCGGAAGGAUCAUUACAGAGCUCAUGCCCUCCGGGGUAGAUCUCCCACCCUUGCCUAUUAUACCAUUUGUUGCCUCGGCGGGCCGUUCGUCUCGGCCACCGGCUCGCGCUGGUGCGUGCCCGCCGCAGGACCCCCCAACUCUGAAUUAUCUAGCGUCGUCCGAGUACUAUACAAUAGUUAAAACUUUCAACAACGGAUCUCUUGGUUCUG